UGUCCAGCAGGGAGGGCAUCUGGGGGAGAUAGCAUGAACCUCUGCUCGCGUUACUCUCUCCCAGUGAAACUCCUCGCUGUCAGGUGAAAAGAAUCGGCUGCCGACUCCACAUGUAUCGGAGGAGACCGACAGAGGAUAACGCAUCGACUGAGGAAUUGUACCCCCACCAAAAGAGGAUCCAGAAGAUCUCACAACAAAGCUGGCCAGUGAAGAGAAAAACAUCUCGCUUAGGACCAGUGCAGAUGGCUGUGAUCGCAAAGCAAAGAGUGAGGAUUUCAUGUAAUGUAG